rnacentral:tRNA from 1 species
GAGGGUAUAGCUCAGUGGUAGAGUGCUUGCUUAGCAUGCACAAGGUCUUGGGUUCAAUCCCCAGUACCUCCA